rnacentral:rRNA from 1 species
AUUGAACGCUGGCGGCAUGCCUUACACAUGCAAGUCGAACGGCAGCACGGGAGCAAUCCUGGUGGCGAGUGGCGAACGGGUGAGUAAUAUAUCGGAACGUGCCCGGUCGUGGGGGAUAACGUAGCGAAAGCUACGCUAAUACCGCAUACGAUCUACGGAUGAAAGCGGGGGAUCGCAAGACCUCGCGCGAUUGGAGCGGCCGAUAUCAGAUUAGGUAGUUGGUGAGGUAAAGGCUCACCAAGCCGACGAUCUGUAGCUGGUCUGAGAGGACGACCAGCCACACUGGGACUGAGACACGGCCCAGACUCCUACGGGAGGCAGCAGUGGGGGAAUUUUGGACAAUGGGCGCAAGCCUCGAUCCAGCAAUGCCGCGUGCAGG